AUACGGGGGGUGCAAGCGUUAUUCGGAUUUAUUGGGCGUAAAGAGCGCGUAGGCGGCUUGGUAGUCAGAUGUGAAAGCCCGGGGCUCAACCCCGGAAGUGCAUUUGAAACUAUCAGGCUCGAGUAUGGGAGAGGGAAGUGGAAUUCCUGGUGUAGAGGUGAAAUUCGUAGAUAUCAGGAGGAACACCGGUGGCGAAGGCGACUUCCUGGACCAAUACUGACGCUGAGGCGCGAAGGCGUGGGGAGCAAACAGGAUUAGAAACCCCAGUAGUCC
rnacentral:rRNA from 1 species